CCUACGGGAGGCAGCAGUGGGGAAUCUUGCGCAAUGGGCGAAAGCCUGACGCAGCAACGCCGCGUGCGGGAAGAAGGCCUUCGGGUUGUAAACCGCUUUCAGCAGGAACGAAAAUGACGGUACCUGCAGAAGAAGGAGCGGCCAACUACGUGCCAGCAGCCGCGGUGACACGUAGGCUCCAAGCGUUGUCCGGAUUUAUUGGGCGUAAAGAGCUCGUAGGCGGUUCAGUAAGUCGGGUGUGAAAACUCUGGGCUCAACCCAGAGCCUGCAUUCGAAACUGCUGUGACUAGAGUUUGGUAGGGGAGCGGGGAAUUCCUAGUGUAGCGGUGAAAUGCGCAGAUAUUAGGAGGAACACCGGUGGCGAAAGCGCCGCUCUGGGCCAAUACUGACGCUGAGGAGCGAAAGCGUGGGUAGCAAACAGGAUUAGAUACCCUGGUAGUCCACGCCGUAAACGAUGGGCACUAGGUGUGGGUUUCAACUAACGAAAUCCGUGCCGUCGCUAACGCAUUAAGUGCCCCGCCUGGGGAGUACGGUCGCAAGACUAAAACUCAAAGGAAUUGACGGCUGAGAGNGCGAGACGACACGAGGAGAGG
rnacentral:rRNA from 1 species